GACGAACGCUGGCGGCGUGCCUAAUACAUGCAAGUCGAGCGAACUUUGAAAAGCUUGCUUUUCAAAGUUAGCGGCGGACGGGUGAGUAACACGUGGGUAACCUGCCUGUGAGACUGGGAUAACAUCGGGAAACCGAUGCUAAUACCGGAAAAUCCUUUCCUACACAUGUAGGGAAGCUGAAAGCCGGGUUGUAGCUGACACUUACAGAUGGGCCCGCGGCGCAUUAGCUAGUUGGGGAGGUAACGGCUCACCAAGGCAACGAUGCGUAGCCGACCUGAGAGGGUGAUCGGCCACACUGGGACUGAGACACGGCCCAGACUCCUACGGGAGGCAGCAGUAGGGAAUCUUCCACAAUGGACGAAAGUCUGAUGGAGCAACGCCGCGUGAGCGAUGAAGGCCUUCGGGUCGUAAAGCUCUGUUGUUAGGGAAGAACAAGUGCUGGAGUAACUGCCGGCACCUUAACGGUACCUAACCAGAAAGCCACGGCUAACUACGUGCCAGCCGCCGCGGUAAGAC
rnacentral:rRNA from 1 species